AUUGAACGCUGGCGGAAUGCUUUACACAUGCAAGUCGAACGGUAGAGGGGGCAACCCCUUCGAGAGUGGCGAACGGGUGAGUAAUAUAUCGGAACGUGCCCAGUCGUGGGGAGUAACGUAGCGAAAGUUACGCUAAUACCGCAUACGAUCUAAGGAUGAAAGCGGGGGAGUCGCAAGACCUCGCGCGAUUGGAGCGGCCGAUAUCAGAUUAGGUAGUUGGUGAGGUAAAGGCUCACCAAGCCAACGAUCUGUAGCUGGUCUGAGAGGACGACCAGCCACACUGGAACUGAGACACGGUCCAGACUCCUACCGGGAGGCAGCAGUGGGGAAUUUUGGACAAUGGACGCAAGUCUGAUCCAGCCAUUCCGCGUGCAGGAUGAAGGCCCUCGGGUUGUAAACUGCUUUGUUACGGAACGAAAAGGUUUCUAUUAAUACUAGGAGCUCAUGACGGUACCGUAAGAAUAAGCA
rnacentral:rRNA from 1 species